GCCCUUCCUACGGGAGGCAGCAGUGGGGAAUAUUGCACAAUGGGGGAAACCCUGAUGCAGCGACGCAGCGUGCGGGAUGACGGCCUUCGGGUUGUAAACCGCUUUCAGCAGGGAAGAAGCCGUGAGGUGACGGUACCUGCAGAAGAAGUACCGGCUAACUAUGUGCCAGCAGCCGCGGUAAUACGUAGGGUACGAGCGUUGUCCGGAAUUAUUGGGCGUAAAGAGCUCGUAGGUGGUUGGUCACGUCUGCUGUGGAAACGCAACGCUUAACGUUGCGCGGGCAGUGGGUACGGGCUGACUAGAGUGCAGUAGGGGAGUCUGGAAUUCCUGGUGUAGCGGUGAAAUGCGCAGAUAUCAGGAGGAACACCGGUGGCGAAGGCGGGACUCUGGGCUGUAACUGACACUGAGGAGCGAAAGCAUGGGGAGCGAACAGGAUUAGAUACCCUGGUAGUCCAUGCCGUAAACGUUGGGCACUAGGUGUGGGGGGCAUUCCACGUUCUCCGCGCCGUAGCUAACGCAUUAAGUGCCCCGCCUGGGGAGUACGGUCGCAAGGCUAAAACUCAAAGGAAUUGACGGAAGGGC
rnacentral:rRNA from 1 species